AGAUAAAUGGACAGCUGACAAGAAAUUAUCUUCUGGACGUCCAGAGUAUAGGUUUUAGAAGUAAUGACGGAAACUUCUCUAGACGAUUGGUGUGCAACUUGUGUUGGUUGUGGAGGUCUGAUCCAAGAUCAGUUUAUUCUCCGGGUAUCCCCAGACCUAUCUUGGCAUGCAGCUUGUUUGAAGUGCUGUGAGUGUAACACCCUCUUAGAUGAAAAACAAACCUGUUUUGUCCGAGAUGGAAAACCGUUCUGUAAGAAAGACUAUGUCAGGUUAUAA